rnacentral:rRNA from 1 species
GUAGGUGGUAAUUUAAGUGAAUAGUGAAAUCUUGUGGCUCAACCAUAAGGCUAUUAUUCAAACUGAAAUACUUGAGAAUGAGAGAGGUCACUGGAAUUCCCUGUGUAGGAGUGAAAUCCGUAGAUAUAGGGAGGAACACCAAUGGCGUAGGCAGGUGACUGGCUCAUUUCUGACACUGAGGCACGAAAGCGUGGGGAGCGAACGGGAUUAGAUACCCCGGUAGUCCACGCCGUAAACGAUGGAUGCUAGCUGUUAGGAGUAUCGACCCUUCUAGUAGCGAAGCUAACGCGUUAAGCAUCCCGCCUGGGGAGUACGGUCGCAAGAUUAAAACUCAAAGGAAUUGACGGGGACCCGCACAAGUGGUGGAGCGUGUUCUUUAAUUCGAAGUUAAGCGAAGAACCUUACCAGGGCUUGACAUCCCGAGAAUUUCUGCGAAAGCAGAGAGUGCCUUUAUUGGAAUUCGGUGACAGGUGUUGCAUGGCCGUCGUCAGCUCGUGUCGUGAGAUGUUUGGUUAAGUCCAUCAACGAGCGCAACCCCUAUGAUUAGUUGAAUUUCUCUAAUCAGACUGCCCCGGUGACGGGGAGGAAGGAGGGGAUGAGGUCAGGUCAUUAUUGCCCUUACGCCCUGGGCUAGAAACGCGCUACAAUGGCUGGUACAAAGGGCUGCCAACCCGCGAGGGGGAGCAAAUCCCAUUAAAACCAGUCCCAGUUCGGAUUGCAGGCUGAAACUCGCCUGCAUGAAGCCGGAAUCACUAGUAAUCGUAGGUCAGCACACUACGGUGAAUACGUUCCCGGGUCUUGUACACACCGCCCGUCAAACCAUGGAAGUCACCAACACCCGAAGUCCUAACUUGUUUAGGCCUAAGGUGGGGGGGAUAACUGGGGUU